rnacentral:rRNA from 1 species
AAACUUUCAACAACGGAUCUCUUGGUUCUGGCAUCGAUGAAGAACGCAGCAAAAUGCGAUAAGUAAUGUGAAUUGCAGAAUUCAGUGAAUCAUCGAAUCUUUGAACGCACAUUGCGCCCGCCAGUAUUCUGGCGGGCAUGCCAGUUCGAGCGUCAUUU